UGUUCUAUCUAUUUCGAUUUAAUUUCAGUUCUCUGUUCGUUUCAUCCUCCAAAAUUGUUUCUCCAUCUCAUCUUCUUCCGAAAUUGUUUCUCCAUCUCAUCGUCUUCUUCCUAGCAUUCGCAGUAGUCUCGGUCUGAGCAUGAUCUUCUCAUCAGUCGCCUUCGCUACUUCAACAGUACCCUGUUUGGCUGUUGGCAGCAAUGAGAAACUGAAAGCCGAAGCGUCAAUGGAAGUGCUCGGUCAUUGGGGGGUUAUUGGCCCCCGUUGGUCGCCGUAACCUCGUCGAAACCCUAGCCGGCUUAUCAUCGGAUACGGGGUGAUGGGGCUUGAAGCAGCGAGUAUAUGCCUGCUUAACUUCAGGCCUACAACUUCUUAGACAUUAAAAAGUCUAGUUCUUUGAGGGAUUGGCAGCAUCACCAUAAUUGGCAGUACCAAGGUAGAAGAGGGCGACCUUUGGCAACAACUUCACGGGAUUGAUGGUAGAAUGCUGGAGUUCAAAUUAGAUUCUCAUGACAAUAAUAUAACUGCAGACAUUUGGCACAUUGUGGUGUUCAGGUUUGACUAGGGAAGAUAUAUAGCUCAAGUUUUCGCAGCAUUGUUGCCUUAAUUUUCCUAUAGGUUAUCAUCUUCCUCACUCUUAAUUUAUUUGGAAUCUUAUGCUAUAUUUCUAUCUAAUUAUAAUAAUUAGAAAGUAAAAUGCAUUACUUCAUGGGUGUUUAUUGUUGCAUGUGUGAAUAUGUGACAUUUUUUUAUUACCAAUUUUGUUGGAUCAAAUGCAUGUGUGAUUUGUAUUAUAUUGCUUGCUCGCAAGAAGAGAGACAAUCAAUUCCCUUUGGAGUGAAAAUAACUAAUGGAGUCACUUCUUACUCGGGCUUAGUUGGCCAUCAGUUCAUUCAUGACUUGUGAACUAAAAUUCAUAUAUAUUUUAGAAUCUGGUAAUUUUUCUAGCUUGCAGUUUUUAAUUAUUGGUUUUCACAAUUUUUUGUUAUUAUUUUCCAUAUUACUAUUUGUACGAGCAAGCCCUCAUUUUCCUUAAUUCUUGCAAGUUAUGGUAUAUAUUGAUUGGCUUUGGUGCUUGGAUUGGUUUUACAAAUAAUUCUUUAAAUUAUAAUAAUUUGAGACAAUCUGAUUGCUAAUUGAAAUAUGGAAUAUACAUCAGACAUUUGUUUCAAAGAUCGAUAUCUAAUUCUAGCUCAUAUGACAUAUGUCAUUUACUAUGGUCUUCAGGGUUGUCUUUUUUUGCUACAACUGAUGGAUUGGUAGUACCGCUACAACCUUUUUUUUUUAACAAGAAACUAUUUCAUUGAUAUAUGAAAUAUGAUAACAAAAGCUACAAAAAAGCUCUCCAAUCAGAUAAGAGAGAGGCGUAACUAUAGUGAUGAAAUAGAGGGGAGCAUUUACACCAAGAUAUCACCAAAAAACUAUAGAAUCGAAUAAGAGAUGUGGGGGAGGCUCCUUAUCUUGAGAGAUUCUUAGAUUUCUUUCCAACCAAAUUGUCCAAAGAAAUGCCGAACAAAAUGAAGCCAUAGGCAAAGUUUCUUCUUUUUGAAGGGGUGACCGGUUAGGGUAUAGUCCAGAAGCAUCGAUAAAUUGGUAGGUAAAGCCGUCAACCAUCCAAAAAGAGAAAGGAGCUUUUGGCAAAAUCUUGGCUACAACUGAUGGUAUCGAGGUCAAAGGGGGCAAUCUUGGCAACAACUUCUCAUGGAUUGAUAAUAAAACCAAUCCAUAUUAUUCCAGUAGCAUUUGAGUUGGAAUAAUCUUUCCUGUGCUGAAGCUGUCUUGUCUGGAUGCCAUGUUUAAUUAAGUUUUGGCGGCAAUGAGAAAUUGAAGGCAGAAGCGUCGAGGUCAAGAGAAUUAAAAAUGGGAGUGUUCGGUCUUCGGGAGUUAUUGGCCCCCGUCGGUCACCGCGUCUCCGACGAGACCCUAGUCCGCUUGCCAUCGAAGCGAGCAUUUGGAUGGUCCAAUUCACAAAAGUAAUGCACGAUGACGGUGAUGUGUCAAGCAUUGCACUGUUACUGCAUAUGGACUGGUCAUGAUCGAGAUGGUGUGAUAGAGGUCCAUACUUAUUAUUCCUCGUAGUCCCGUUUUUUCCAUUUCCUUCCUUUUUUUCUAACAGAAAAUUCAUUGUUGCCUUGUCAAUAAUAGGGUGAACGAAUUAAUGUUUUCGAAAUAAAAAGAAAAAUCUUAUUAACUAUGUGGGAAAGGUCAUACCUAGCGGGGGAGAUCAGAUGAACCACUAGCGCCUGGGCAGCUUAUUAAAAGAUUCAGCAAUGCCCUUAUUCGAAAAAUUGGAAUCACUCGUUGGUGGGAGGUGGUGAAUUUAAAACCUAUUUUUUCAUAACUAUGUUGCUUGCCAAAUAAAAAUUUCCUGGUUAGGUAACUCGCUCAACUAAAUUUAAUCAUCUUUAUUACCUUUAAGUUUUAAAAGCUUUUAUCCCGUGACGUCUUGUAGGAUCUGGGGUGAUUGGAGCAGGCAGCCUUUGAAAAGUGACUGCCUGCCUGCUUAAUUCUUAUUGAAUCCGUUCAAUUUUGGCAUAUUAGGUGUCUUAGAGAUCAGGAGGGUAAGAAUAUUUUAGGCAAAGAAGAGCAAUCACGAACCUAGCUGAGCAGUAAAUGACAUCUAUUCCCAUUGAAUUUGAAGGUUUGAAGGUUUGAAUUCUCAUAUUCCAUAUUUGCCGUGCUACAAAAAAUAUUUUAGGCAAAAGAAAUAAAGUUUUAAGGGCAAUAGAUUUGUGGAAAACUCUUAUGGAAACUAUGGCAUAAGGUGUUCUAGGGUUUUAAGAUUUAUGGGUUUAGGAUUUAGUAUUGCUGUAGUUUAGGAAGCCUUAGCUGUAAGGACAAAGUGGUUGAGUAGUACGUUUAUAGAAAUGAUCAACAUUGGUAUAAGUUCGUACAUGGUAUUCCUGGUAUGACACAGAGCAAAUUGAAGAGGACGUAAAGAAAAGUUAUUAAAAGCAUUAAUCAAUGAAGCUGAGAUAGGCGCCAAUAAAACACUCUUAAUUGGAAGGUGGUGUCAUUGGCCAUUGAAAAUGGGUGUUUGGGUGGUUGUAACUUAAGGUAAGGCAAAGAGAGUAGGAUUUAGUGGCAAGUGUUGAGAAAAUAACUCUUAUAGAAUUCGAUGACAUUUGGUAUAAAUACAAAGAGGAAGCCUGAAGAAAGGCAGAAACUCUCAAACCGGUGAAAGAAAAGAAAAAUCAUUGAAAGCAUCAGGCUGUGAAGUUUAAAAGAGGAGCCAAGAAAACACUCUUAAUUGGGAUAUGUGGUUUCACUAAUUUAUCUAUUUGAAAUUGCCAGUAUGAGUUUAACUUAAUGGUUAUAAUAUGAGGCUAGUAAGGAAAAAUAAAAAUUAGUUUUGUUGAAUCAGGAUUUUUGAGAAUUUGCACUAGGUAAAACUUCAUACUUUUUGCUGAUGGUUAUUGUUUAUCUCACAUGCUUUAUCAUUUCUUUAGUAUUUGGUGGACGGUAGAUGACUGAGUUUAGUCAUUUUGCCUUUAUUUCACAUACGACUUUAUCUCCAACACUUUUCAUAAUUAUGUCUGGACUGCAGCUAUUAUAAUUUUCACGUAUACUGAAUCACUGAUCAUACUGCUUCUAGGGUAGUGUAGUUUUUGAUGGUCUAUUUUUUUUGUAUCCAAAUCCACGUUAUAAAAUUUAUGUUAAUCAAGUUGAUUUGAGCGUAACAUAUUUCAGAGUUGAUGAUUAUAAUUUUGUUAGAGAACUUUUGGGAGCAAUUAACGAGAAGUCUUCGACCAAACAGGUCGGAUUCUCAUUAUUGCACUAAAAUAAAGGAUGAUGGUUGUAGUUAAUUAGAUUAGCUGAAUUGUUUAGCACAUGUGCCCGUCUAGCUCAGUUGGUAGAGCGUAAGGCUCUUAACCUUGUGGUCGUGGGUUCGAGCCCCAUGGUGGGCGAUUUAUAUAUUUUUUCUAUUCAUUGUUUUCCUGAUUUCGUUUAACUAUCUUUCUUGUGCUGGAGCGUGUUAUCAUCUUCUUCCCACCGGUCACAGUCUCACUCUGAGAUCAGUCGCUUCCGCUACUUCCACAAUACUCUGCAAUGGGAAACUGAAAGCCGAAUCGUCAAUUGGAGUGCUCGGUCUUUGGGAGUUAUUGGCCUCCGUCGGUCGCCGUGACUCUAACGAAACCCUAGCCGGCUAGCCGGCUUGUUAUCGGUAUAUCUUAUCCAUAUGACUAACUAGUUUUCAUAGUUUACUUUUAUAAAGUGCAGCUGUCUUUCUAGGUAACUUCAAGUCAUUUUAUGAUUUACAAAAAUUUUAAAAAAUGAAAAUGAAUUCGAUUCUUUGUAACUUCAAGUCAUUCCCUAAGAAUGUGAAUUUUUCUUAUCUUACAAAUUGCAACUAUCUUUUCCCCCCAUAAAUAGUGUCACCAUAUUCCUACCUUUUCUCAUGGUUUCUCUCUGUCCCUUGUUGAAAAUUGGAAAUCUCUUCUUCUUUAUAACAAGUUGAAAUUUCCCCUGAAUAGAAACAUCAAUGACUGGAUCUUCUCUUUUGAUUAAAUCCCUAGCGCUUUAAGCCAUAAUGUAAACUGAAAGACGUGUAUUUUACAUAAAUAGAUAUUUUAAAAUAAACAAUUUUAUUUAUUUUAUCUACUUAUUAUUUUUUACAAUUUGUUAGUACAAAGAUAGAAAAGGACCAUUACAUGAUCAUGUUUAAUUUUUCCUUGUCAUAAAUUUUGCUUGGUUUUAUUUCUUUCUUGGCCUACACUACAAAAUAUUUCCUGAUAAUCAUGCAAUAUGUUGGUCUUACAAUGGUGCAGCGUUGUUAAUGUUAACCUCCCUUUCAUUUUAAAGAAAAAGAUACAUAUUGCCUAUAUGGUAAGAUAGGAUAGGCAAUGCCCUUGUGUGUAAAAUUAGAUUCACUUGGUGGGAGAUGGUGAAUUAAGUACCAAUAAUUCACAGAUAACAGGUCCCAAAAUAUAAAGGGUUAUAUUGUAUUUCACGGUGUGUUGCCUGUCAAACUUGUUCUUUGGAGAAAUGGUAGCACCUAGCAUUUAUUCCUUGUUUUUCUGAACAAAAUUUUACCGUUUAGAAAUCUUGAUCAUAGAUGUAUCAUCUCUAUUACCUUUAAGUUCUAGAAGUUUUUUUAUCUUGUGAUAUUGAAGUAUCUAGCUUCAACGAGGUAGCAGCCCUUGAAGAGGUAGUACAUGUCAACUUUAACUGUGUGCGUUUAGAGGUUCUGAGACAUUGAAAAAUCAAGUUCUUUAAGGGAUCAAAGCAUCACUGUAAUUGACGGUGCCAAGUUAAAAUAGGGCGACCUUAGAAGGUUAUGUAAUAAGUUGCUAAGAGGGCGACCUUUGAAGGUAUGUAUUAAGUUGCUUUUUAUUUUGGCAAUGGAUACCCUAUUUGUCAUUGCAUAUGGACCUAUAAAUACAAUAUAUCGUCAUACUUUAAUUAUCUCGAUAAAUCUGAACACUUCCAAUUAGUACUUGUGAGUUGCUUUUUAUUUUUAUUUCCUGUCCUUACUGCAUUGGUAUAUUACUAUGGUUGUUUCAUAUUCCUUUUCGAUUUUGUAAUGCAGAAAAUAUUCAGAAUGCUAAUAUUCGCCAAAGGUAGGGUUUGAGUGGUUUUAUAUUCGUGAUAUAUUAUUAGAGGUUAUAUAAUGGCAGUGUGCAUGGCAAAUCUUUCUUCAUUAGUUUAGUAAGAGAGCUGAAGGGUUAUUUGAUUUAAUUAGAAGAGACGAGAAAGUCACUAGUUCUUCAAAAAAGAAGAUUCAGGCAAGGGGGUCUGUGGAAACUCCCACUUUUUCUAGCAAAGGAGUCAACUCCACUCCCUACCGAUGCCUUACAUUUAGCAACAUGGUAGACUUUACAAUUUAUAGUGAGAAUUAGUAGAAGGGGGAUAAAUAGAAUGUUCUACAUUUGAAUGACGGGAGAUUUAGUGACAGAAGCUUUACUGGUUAUUGAAGAUGAAAAGAUUAAAAAAGAUGUUUUUGGUGAAGGUGAAACAAGUAAAGUUUUCUAGUUGGGCAGAGAAGCUACCGACCUUAUUUGAACAGGAUUUGUUCUAUAGAUUGUACAAUUGUGUCCUUGAGUUUUAAAGUUCGAAAGGUAAAGAAAGAUGGAGCUACAUUUAGUAUAGACAAUUUUAAUUACUUAUCUUUGAUUCUUCCAUGCUCCAAGUUGUCUGUGGAGGAACUCACAUUCUGUUGAUAGGUUUACUGAAAUGAUCAUAGAAAGGAAAAAAUAAAAUUGACUUUGUUGAAUCUAGUUUUAUUACUUAUCUAUUAACACUUUUCUUAAUAUUGUGUUAUACUCUUUACAUUCCAAUUCUCACAUAUACUGAUCGUUCUACUUCUAAACAAAUGUUCGGUGAUUUUGGAAAUUUCAUUUUGCUUAUGGUAUAGUGUUGAAAAGAUGUAGAUUCUUUUUUUUGUCCAAUUCAAUGUACACAAUUUAUGUCAAUCACUUUAAAUAAAUGAUCACACACGUCUUUGAGAUUUUAAGAUAAGUUGAUUUGAACAUAACACAUCUACAUUGCUAGAGUACAUUAUAGUUUACGUUGGAGAAUAUAAUUUUGAAAACAUGGAUGUGAUGUUACUUUUAAUCCAAGCUAAUUAUCAACAUGGAUCUGCCCGUCUAGCUCAGUUGGUAGAGCGAAAGACUCUUAACCUUGUGGUCGUGGGUUUGAGCCCCACAGUGGGCGGUGUAAAUGAUUUUGUCCAAUGGCUCUAUUUACCAGAGUUGGUAAUAAAUAAACAAAAUUUUAAAAUUAUAUAAAUAAUCAGUUUUUAGAUAUUAUAAUUAUAAAAAAUAAAACAAUUAAGUUAUUAUCAGCUUAAAUAUACCACUUAAUUCUCAAUUUGAUUCUUAAUUUUUGAAGACUUUUUUUUUUUUGAGUGUUCAAACAUCUACUUGAGGGAUCAAUUAGACACUUAGCUCAAAUUCUAAGAAACAAAAAAUGUUCACUAAAUACACACCUAUCUCAAAUCAUGUAUUUUGUCAAAAAAAAAAAAAACUAAUUUGUUUAUUUAUUUAUUAUUAUUAUUAUUUGCCAUUGGACCAGGUCAAAUUUUGACACGAUAGCACCAGGCUGUCAUUGUUUCUCUUUGACCAGGUCAAAUAUUGACAGGCUGGCAUCGCGUAAAGUAAAAGCAGAACUUCCCUAUUUAAACUACCAGUACCAGACUCCACUCCUCACGAGUAUCUUUACUUGUGGCGUAAGUAAUUUCUCUGUUCGUUUCGUCGGAAAUUGUUUCUCCAUCACAUCUUCUUCCUAGCAGUCUGAGAGUGAUCUUCUUCUCAGUCGCCUUCGCUACUUACUCCUGUUUCGCGGUUGGCGACGAUGAGAAACUCGGCUCUCCGGCGUCGGACUUUGAUUGCACGCCGUACACAGCGUGAGAACGCCCAGGCUAAAGGUUGUAACGCCGCCCAGGGAUUGCUUCUCAAUCAUGUUGUAAAGGAAAUGUAGAAACCAUUCUUAACGAAAAGGCUUAUUCAUUCGCUAAUUCUACUUGGAUUUUUCUUGGUAUGACCAUUUUAAUUGAGGUAAGCAACCAAUAUUUGCGAAGUUGAUGAAUUUCUUUAUAUCUAAUUAAUGAUACAGUUGAGAGAUUUUGUUAUAUGCCGAUGUAUCUCCUACUUACUCUUGCUGACAUCUUGCAAUAAUUUUUAAAAUGUUGUUUGUAAUUGUCUCUUUUGAUGGUUGUCUCAUUGCACUUUAUGGAAUUAACCGGUGAAACAUGGUUAAUACUAAAGCUAUUUUAUCAAUUUACAUGUGGAAAAAUUGACCAGGUUUGCUUAAUAGUUCUAAUAUGAGACUAGAAAGGAGAGGAAAAAAAAAGUUAGCCUGGUUGAAUGUGGAUUUUUUAGCGCCUAGCAAUUGUUGUUUUAAUAUCAGUUUGCUGUGUUUUCUUGAAUUGCCCAAAUGUCUCAUCAUUUCUCUAGAAUUUUGUGGAUGGUAGGUGAUUGAGUUUAGUCAUUUUGUAUUAUGUCUUAUUUCUGUAAUUCGUGUCAUGAGACCUUUCAUUUUGAUAUAAUAAAAAUAUACAAAUAGAUGAAUGUUCAAGGAAAUGAGACCUUUCCAUAAUUCUAUUUUGCAUGGCAUCUGUUCCAAUAUUCACGUGUGCUGAUCAUGUGCUUCUAGGCAAAUGUUUGGUACAAGGGGAUGAAUCAAAUGUUUUACAUUUAAUGAUCAAAAUCUGGGAUAUUUAGUAACAGAAGCUUUAGUGGUUAUUGAAGAUCAAAAGAUCAAAAGAAGAUAUUUUUGGUGAAUAAGAUGAACAGUUUGAAUGUUGAGGAAGAAGAGAGGAUGAAACAAGUGAAGUUUUCUAGUUGGGUAGAGAAGCUUGUUCAAAGGAGUUCUCUGAAAGGAAACAAUCACUUUAAAAGAAGUUUGCAUGGAUUAAGGAAAAUAUAAAGCUAGAAGGGGAUGCUCAAGGAGUGAAGCAUUGAACAAAAGAAAUUUCGGAACUGAAGGCAAAGAAAGAAAGCUUCAAGGGCAAAGGGGUGGUGGAGAAUUGAGACGAUGAACUUUUGCACGAGGUGUUUUAUAAUUUAUGGUUUUGGGUUUAGGCCUUUAGGCCUUUAGGGUAACGAAUAAUACAAGGCAAAAAAGAAAGACAGUUUUAAUGGCAAAGUGGUUAAAUAAUACUUUAUUGAAAUGAUGGGAAAUAGUAUUCCUGUUCCUGUUAUGACACAGCAACUCAAAGAGGAGCGAAGACAACAUUCUCAAACUUAAGCCAUAGUUAUUUUAUUGAGGUAUCUGUGGGGAGACAUUCUGUUGAUAGGUUUGCUGAAAUGAGGAUAGAAAGGAUAGAAGAAAGUUGGCUCUGUUGAAUCGGGAUUUUGGAGAACUUUCAGCAGUUGGAGGGCCAAUACCAGCUCAACUCAGGUUGGCAAUAUGAUUCAGUCAUUUCACCUUGCCUUGCCUUGCCUUACCUUUCUUAAUUCUGUUUCGGACCGUCCAUUCCAGUUCACAUAUUCUGAUCAUUUUACUUCUGGGAAAAUUUUAUUAUGUUAUUGAUAGAGGGGGUACACACUGAAAUAUAUAUAUAUAUAUUUUUUGAAGCACACUGAAACGUAUUUAUUUAGUAAAAAUUUAAUUGGUGCCUAGUAUAAGUAAAUCUAUAAACGAAUUUAAAUUAAUUUGUUUAUUUAUUUAUUAUUAUUACUA